rnacentral:rRNA from 1 species
UAGGGAAUCUUCCGCAAUGGGCGAAAGCCUGACGGAGCAACGCCGCGUGUGUGAUGAAGGUCUUCGGAUCGUAAAACUCUGUUAUUAGGGAAGAACAAAUGUGUAAGUAACUAUGCACGUCUUGACGGUACCUAAUCAGAAAGCCACGGCUAACUACGUGCCAGCAGCCGCGGUAAUACGUAGGUGGCAAGCGUUAUCCGGAAUUAUUGGGCGUAAAGCGCGCGUAGGCGGUUAUGUAAGUCUGAUGUGAAAGCCCACGGCUCAACCGUGGAGGGUCAUUGGAAACUGGAAAACUUGAGUGCAGAAGAGGAAAGUGGAAGUCCAUGUGUAGCGGUGAAAUGCGCAGAGAUAUGGAGGAACACCAGUGGCGAAGGCGACUUUCUGGUCUGUAACUGACGCUGAUGUGCGAAAGCGUGGGGAUCAAACAGG